CUAACGUGCCCCAAGGCCGAGGAUAGCCCGGAGAAAUCCGGGGUAAUACUCGAUGACCCCAUCGGAUCGCAUGUUCUGAUGGGCAAAGGCUUGCCACCUUGGGAUCGGGAAACGCCCUAUCAGGUUGUUGGUGAGGUAACGGCUCACCAAGCCUAAGACGGGUAGCGGGUGUGAGAGCAUGACCCGCCGCAUCGGGACUGAGACACUGCCCGGACUCCUACGGGAGGCUGCAGCAACGAAUCUUCCGCAAUGCGCGAAAGCGUGACGGAGCAAUGCCGCGUGCAGGAUGAAGCCCCUCGGGGUGUAAACUGCUGUCAGGGCUUAGGAAUUUUGACCAAACCCAAAGGAAGGGCCGGCUAACUUCGUGCCAGCAGCCGCGGUAAUACGAAGGGCCCGAGCGUUAAUCAGAAUCACUGGGCUUAAAGCGUGCGCAGGCGGAAACGUCAGUGUCUUGUGAAAUCCCACGGCUCAACCGUGGAAUUGCAGGGCAUACUGCGUUUCUUGAGGUCGGUAGAGGUCGCCGGAACUCUAGGUGUAGCGGUGAAAUGCGUAGAUAUCUAGAGGAACGCCGAAGGUGAAGACAGGCGACUGGGCCGAUUCUGACGCUCAGGCACGAAAGCGUGGGGAGCAAACAGGAUUAGAUACCCUGGUAGUCCACGCCGUAAACGUUGUGCACUAGAUCCUGGAGGUACUGACACCGUCGGGGUCGAAGAUAACUUGCUAAGUGCACCGCCUGGGGAGUACGGUCGCAAGGCUAAAACUCAAAGGAAUUGACGGGGGCUCACACAAGCGGUGGAGCAUGUGGCUUAAUUCGAGGCAACGCGAAGAACCUUACCUGGGUUUGACAUGCUUGGAUUAGCCUGUCGAAAGACAGGUGACGCUAAUUCUAGUGGAACUUGCACGGGUGCUGCAUGGCUGUCGUCAGCUCGUGCUGUGAAGUGUCGGGUUAAGUCCCUUAACGAGCGAAACCCCUGCCGGUACUUGCCAUCAGGUCAAGCGAGCACUCUAGCGGGACUGCCGGUGUCAAACCGGAGGAAGGUGGGGAUGAGGUCAAGUCGUCAUGGCCUUUAUGCCCAGGGAUGCUCACGUGCUACAAUGGUAGGUACAACGCGACGCGAUGCCGCGAGGCGGAGCAAAUCGCAAAAAACA
rnacentral:rRNA from 1 species